CUGAUGAAUUAUUAAGAAAGCUACAAAUUCGUAUUGUCAGAUUUUAGUAUCGUGCUUUCGUACUUGUAGUCGAAGCCUACGUACGUCGGUCGAGAUGGUUGUCGUAGGUUAGUAAUCGAUAAAAACCUAUUUUUCCCGUGCGUGAUGCAGUGACGAAGGGUCGCGUUCGUAUUGCUGUCCGUAAAUGUAUAAUUUGUCGCCUCACACGAAUAGCGUUAUUAAGGAAAUUAUUUUGUUGCGUAUAUUGUCAUGGAAGAUCAAUAGGUUGGAAGAGAAAAAAGUGUACGGGUCGUUUACGAACGAGUUAUUGAAAAGCGCGAAAAAAAACGUGCGUAUGUACAUAGAAAAACCACGGAAUAUCCAAUGGGGACGAAAAAAGCUUUACAAAAUAUAUAAAUACAUACGUAUGUAAUAUGAGAAUGUUACGUGUCUGUCGUAUACGGAUCGUCGCGUGAAAAAUGAAGCAGGAAAGUCGAAACAUCGUGUCUUUUAUAUGUAUACACAACGAUAUGCCACAUAACCUAACUUCGUUUCGAUUACGAGGCCGAUGAAACGCUGAGCGUGAUUUCUUUUUUAUUUUUCGUUUUUUGAAAAUCUUUGUAACUCUUUUAUUUGUGUGACUGGUACGGCGGUAUGAUGUAAUUCACGCAUUGCAUCCAUAGAAACGUGAGCGUGCGUUUCUAUCGUGAGUAGCAACUGUGCGUGCACGCGUGUCCCGGACGUACCGACGCGUGAGUAUGUACGCGCGGACGAAAACAUGCCGUUGCCAGAAAUAACCAUGUAUGAGUCAACUGCUGAGUCUAAAUAGGAGGUUCGCUACAUUUAGAGCUCGUGUCUUGAUUAUACAUGGUCUACACCAUGACAAAUAACCUAGAAAAUGCGUACCUAUCGAAAGAGUUUGAUUACGACGACGCGAAUUGACAGGAUUCUGACGAAUUGUCGUUUUGACGGAUGAAACAUUUGAAGACUGAAAUGCAACGCUUGUUUCGCUGUUCAUAAGUAUGAAGACACGAUUUAAUUUAAUACAAAAUGUACAAGUACAUGCAUACAUACGUCCGUAAAUCUACUCGAAGAUAACGUAGAUAAUGAUAAAUUCUGAGGUAAGAGAAGCGUGUAGAUCGAGAUGUGAAACAAAAUCCUGAGUCAAAUAACAGCAAAUAUUAUAGAGAAGUGAAUAAAGAAUUUCAGAAUUUGUUAUAGAAACAAUAGAGAAAUACAGUAAACAUUAACAAGAGGGAAUGAAGCUUGUUAUCACAAAGGUGUUCUGAUCUAUUUGACUGUUCCGACAUACGUUCGUCAAAAUGGUCAAAACACCAGAACCACUGUAGCUAUAACACGAAGUAUGGAUCGCAGGGAUCUGUCAUAACAAUCCCGAAACUAAGAGCAUAAACUCUACACUACCAGCGUGCAUCUUUUCUGUUAUAAUUCAUUCGCGUGUUGUAAUCCAACGAGAAGUACGCUGUCCACCAACAGGAAAGAGUUUAGCAGAAAUGUUUUAUUCAUCCGUUUAAUCAACAAUUAAGAUUAAGAUACAUCUCGUGCCACAUCAAAGGUGUAACAUCAAGUAGGUGCCCUUGAAGUACUAGCGUGAUUUGAUUUCCAUCUUUCUUUUUCGCUCGUUAAAACGUGCGGCUUCCAACGACUCUCGAGUGUUACUUGAUUUUGUAAAAAAGAGAUACCAUAAUAAAUAUGUACAAAGAAGUGUGAGGAAGGGAUGGUAGAAUAGUAAAGCGGGGUAAAAGCUAUCGUUGACUGCACUUGUAAUUCAAAUUUUCUGUUCCGGAGCGCAAGAUGCGUCAAUGUUGGCGAAAAGACAGAGCGAGAGAGAAAGAGAAAUAACUUAAUUAACUGGUUCCGGUGUGUGCGAGAAUCGUUCGUAAAAUCCGUAAAGCGAGAGAAAGAAGCAGAGCGGUGAGCUUAUUCAGCUCCGUAAAACUGUUUAUUCAUAAAAGUAUUUUCAUAAGCAACACCUCGCUUAGCGAAAAAAGAAGUCAUUGCCGCUAAAUGCGGCGUGAAAGCGACACACGGACACUAGUCUCUGAUUUUUCAGGGACACGUUUGAUCUCGUCACUCGGAGAUUAACCUAUCUCUGACGUAUCUACCAGUGGUUACCAACGUGAAUAUAAAUAUAUAUACAUAGCUAACGGUGUCGCGCGACACACGCGUAACCCUCACAAGCUGACCGGCACGUGUCGAGACAAGGCGGUUAGUUGAAAGCGUCGGAUAGAAAGGCAGACAGAAAAGAGAAAGACGGGUAGAACCAGAGAAUAAAGGGUCGAGGGGUGGGGUUAGAAUUAUACGUGCCCCGAGGAAAACUCAAUUCGCGGCCACUUUGACGCACCCUCCAUCUGGGUGGAUCGUCGGAUAGGCGCUGAUACAAAUCCACAAGAUAUAUUCCUUCUUCUUCCUUCUCCUCUCUAUAACCAUAGUCUGUGCCCUCUCCUUUUCUCUCUCUCAUCAGAGCACAUAGCCGUAGUAGUUUAUCCUGCUUUCUACCCCACUGGUGUACACCCGUGCACGUGCAGAUACUCAUUCGUACACACCGACAGGCCUCGCAGACACGUGCGUGGACCGGCAACAAUUCCUAACCAAAAAGCCGGAGUCACCCUCGCCUCUUCCCCUCUUGCCCCUCGCACGGGAGUGUCUGGCUGCGACCGUCAUCGGCGGGGCAUCGAGAUGCGGGGAAGUAAGAGGGGAAAACACCCGGCACAGUGGCGAGCGGCAAGAGAGGAGUGGGAACACAGACCGACAGUGGCACAGGGGGGAAGCUACGUACUCGUGACGUUGCGUCUAGACGCCCCCUCCACCUCAACCCGAAACGACGUCCACACAACGAGCGCCGAGCCAGCGCAGCGCCGAGGAACAUCUCUCGGUUUUCUCCGCCUCUCGUGUACGUAAAUUGCCGAGCACCGAACUCAGUGUUUUAUUCUCGCGGCGCUAGAUGUCGCUCCUGUUGACUGAAUUAACUAGCGCGACCGCGGAUUUUCAAAGUGCGCGGGUUUUUCUGUAUUCGUACGGUUUACCUGCGUUACGCACAAGCAAUACCGUUUCAGCUUAUUUGAAUUUCUUUACAUUUUUGUAGUGAAUCUUGGUUUGAGAAAGUGACAGUGUCCGGUGUAUUCUGUGGUGGCUACGUUGAUGAUUAUUUUGGAAGAACGAUGACGACUUUUCGUUUUGGAAUGCGAGACCCCGCCGUGUAAGACGACUGGUAAGGUUAAAAUUUUUAUCUCAGUUGCAUCGUUGCAUAUAUUAGUACUGGAUGUUUUAUCGUAGAUGCAACGUUUAACGAUAUCGAUGACAGAUUAAUUUUAUUAUUCUUAUCGCGUUUUAUCGCGAUUCAUGAUUCAUCCGAGCAAACGGUGCAUACAAGCGUUUUAUCAGGGAUCAUGGCUCGUGAGUCAGGAAAGGUUAGGCGGGAUUUAAGAGCGGCGUAUCCUUAAGUUUACGUUCUUACGCAUGCGUUUAAAUUAGGAAUGGCAUUUAAGGCCAUUCGUGAACUUUAUUAUCGUUUAAUCGCAACGGUAUACACACAUACGCGCUUUUAAUCGCGUACACGCGUAUAUAAGCAUUAAACACGCAUACGCGCAUGGACGUGCAAAGACACGAGAGAGUAGAUGUGCAUCGUUGAAUUUUUAUGGACUGAGGGGAGCGAUGCGAGACAGACGUUUCAUGGCCUUGAAGAUCCGCGGCCAGCGAUAGGGGCAUAGUUCUUUUGUGAAAAAUAAUUUUAGUCGUGAACCGUCGUUUCCACCGGCAAACGUGCAAGCUAAUUAAUUUUCUACGGAUCGUAUACCGUGUUUGACGCUGGAAACCGAGGACCGGAUUUCUAAAUCCACCUUUAGAACCAUAACAUCGAAUUUCACCAUGGGAAUUUCAGAAGACGGCCUAUUGAAAGACUAUAGAAUUCAUUUUAGGGUAUUUGGAGAAGCGGUUAAAAGCAGAUAACUUAUGGGUAAUUGUUAUUUGUCUGAAUUGAAAACCUUUGAAAUGAAACUGAUAACUUGCUUUAAGGUGUCUUAGGUCGAAAUGAUUAAAUCGAGCGGGGCUCUUUUGCACAAUAAUUUUUAAUAUACAUAUAUAUAAUAUUAGCGAAUUGGCAAUAAAAAUAAUAAAAAUUGUCACAUGAUCGUUAACCCAUAACUCUUAAUGAUCAUUCAUGAAAGGUAUUGAGCUACAAAUGUAGAAGUAUAAAGUUAAGUUAGUUCAUAAACGUAAGACACUGUUCAAAGCGUCAUUUUUACAAUCUACAUACAUACUAUAUCGAUUUUUCUCAUCACUCAUGGAAGAAUAUAUGGCCAUAGCUAAAAAAAAGUAAGUACGGUAUGCACUCUGCGCAUGAGAACAUCUAUCACUCAAAAAAUAUGAUCAGAGAGAAAAAUAUCUCUCACUAAAUUGUGUUAUACCGCGUUCCACCACCACCACUUAUGAAAGAGUUAUAGCUCAUCUCAGACUACCCUGUAUAAUAUACAACGAGGAAUAAGAUUAUUAUUUAUUAAGUAUAGGUAAUAUAGAUAAUUAAACAGGGUAAUAUCCGAGGUGUUCCAAAUAGAUUGGUCAACAAUUUUCCUAUAGGUUGUGUAUAUUGAAACAAGAAAGAAAAUUUAUGUAGGUGUUACAUAUAUCUUAAAAUUCAUCUGUAUAGAAAUAUAAUUUAUUUUGUCAUUAGCAUAUUUUCAACAAAUAUCAUUCUAUGAAUUUAUAUGAUAUACAUAUAUGUACAGAUAUAACAUUAUAAUAAUAUAAUCAGGUUUUUUAAGCGAGGCAAUUUAUGACAAUGGAAACAAUUCGACUAUUUUAUUACGAAUCUAUUCUCUUUAGUUUUAAUAUCAGUUUAUCGACCCAAAUAUUACAUAUUUACUUAUCAAAUCUUUUUUCUAUUGACGUAUAAAAUAUCUACUCAAAUUUUGAUUUGAAUUACUCUGUAUAACAUCAAGAAACUAUAAUAGGGCUGAAAUUCAUUCUUCACGCCUAUAAAAUUUGUCAUAGUUUGAUAUCCUCGAAUCGUUGAUAUUUCCUAAUAAAAAAUAUAUAUAUUGUACCUUAUUACAUCCUUACGGUACGAAUCGAAAGUAUAGACAUAACACGUGUGCAACGAAAUCAAAAGAAAAAGCGAGCCACCGUGAAAAUUAUUCAACCCGUUGAAUGGCGCACGUCGGUUCCUGCAUUCCUUCGUUCACGUGUACGGCGCGGCGAAGGCGGCCGCGCAAAUAAAGCGUCGACUCGCCUUCUGUCGGCGACAAUGGCAAUAACAAUUGAAUCCGCGGCGAGUGGUAACUGCACGUGUUUAUGACGAUCUCGGCUUACGCUCGUAAAGAGUGGUUAGCCUCUAAAGGCUGAGGCAUCCGACCGACCUUCUCGUACGUUUUGUUUUAAUAAAUAAAACGAAGCCGA